AUAUUGAGUAAGAUCAAUAGUGAGAGGUACAAUUGACAGAGAAGUAGAUGAGGAUGAGGUUGAAGAAUUGGAUAUGGAAGUGGAUUCGGGUUGAUGAGGUACGGUUGAACUAGGAGUCUUAAAAGGGAAUGACAAAGUUGAUAUGGGAGAGUUAAGAGAUAAAAAACUAGAAUUAUCCAUACCUAAAAAACCCAAGUAUGU
rnacentral:lncRNA from 1 species